rnacentral:rRNA from 1 species
AUUGAACGCUGGCGGCAGGCUUAACACAUGCAAGUCGAACGAGCGGCGGACGUGUGAGUAAUGUCUGGGAAACUGCCCGAUGGAGGGGGAUAACUACUGGAAACGGUAGCUAAUACCGCAUACCAUCGGAUGUGCCCAGAUGGGAUUAGCUAGUAGGUGGGGUAAUGGCUCACCUAGGCGACGCUCCCUAGCUGGUCUGAGAGGAUGACCAGCCACACUGAACCUGAGACACGGUCCAGACUCCUACGGGAGGCAGCAGUGGGGAAUAUUGCACAAUGGGCGCAAGCCUGAUGCAGCCAUGCCGCGUGUGUGAAGAAGGCCUUCGGGUUGUAAAGCACUUUCAGCGGGGAGGCGGUACCCGCAGAAGAAGCACCGGCUAACUCCGUGCCAGCAGCCGCGGUAAUAC